rnacentral:rRNA from 1 species
GAUGCAGCGACGCCGCGUGAGGGAUGGAGGCCUUCGGGUUGUGAACCUCUUUCGCCAGUGAAGCAGGCCUGUCCCUUGUGGGCGGGUUGACGGUAGCUGGAUAAGAAGCGCCGGCUAACUACGUGCCAGCAGCCGCGGUAAUACGUAGGGCGCGAGCGUUGUCCGGAAUUAUUGGGCGUAAAGAGCUCGUAGGCGGCUGGUCGCGUCUGUCGUGAAAUCCUCUGGCUUAACUGGGGGCUUGCGGUGGGUACGGGCCGGCUUGAGUGCGGUAGGGGAGACUGGAACUCCUGGUGUAGCGGUGGAAUGCGCAGAUAUCAGGAAGAACACCGGUGGCGAAGGCGGGUCUCUGGGCCGUUACUGACGCUGAGGAGCGAAAGCGUGGGGAGCGAACA